CUUUUCGAUGUUCCCACGAUGAAUCAUGUCGCACGAGAACACGGAUGGCACCUUUAUGCCUUGGAUUCCAUAUCCGGACACUCCCUACUUCCAACUGAAUAAAAUCGGCUGUACGCGUGACACACCACACCGCGUAGCUGCUCGUGACGAAUUCCACUACUACUUAUUGUUAGUUAAAAAUUACCGUUUCAUGAGUUCCAACGACACAACUGAUAACGCAAUGGCUAAUACUUCUGAAGACACAACUGACAAUGCGAUGGCUGAUACUUCUGAUACAGCCAUGAAGAUUAAGAAUUGGGUCCAAUUUGAGGAGGAGACGGGUCCAAAGGAAGUUACUGACAUGGAAAAAAGAGCCGGUAGCAGUGCUCCGGCUGUAAUAAAACCCGAGUCAGUUACAGUGCGAGUCGAUAAGAUCAAUAAAAGUAUUGACUCUGAUAUUAACGAUAAGAGGAUUAACGAGUAUAGAGGUGCUGUGAUAGCAACUGAAUCCGUCCAGAUUAAUUUAGAUAGAUCAGGUUUAAGUCGUUCCGUCACAUCUGACACUCCGGAUCUUAAAUUACCAUCUGACGUUAGAGCGUCAGACGCCAAAAGCGCAUCUUUAAAAACUAUCGAUUUAAGAGAUGUGUCCAAUGGCAGAAAUGCGUCAAGUAACGUUAUAAGUACAUCUGUUGGCAACAUUAGACAAGGUUUCGCCAACGGUGAUACCAUCGUUACUCUUUUACCGGUCAAUACUAAAUGGCCAUGGAUCACUCCAGCCAGAUUCAGACCGGAAUUAGUACCAGAGGAAUUAAUGGCACAAGGAUUAACGCUUACGGUAGAAGAUUAUGUUCAUAUAAUGGAGUUACUUGUGAACGAUGUGCGUUUCAAUAUGUAUAACAUAUGUUACAAGAGGAUCCUCGUCCUUUGGAUAUUCACCGCCUUUGUUGUUCUGCUUGGUCUAUUGUUCUCCGGAGUCACCGGUCUUACUUUGUUCGGGCUUGGUGUCAUGUGGUUAGUCCUGAAUGCAGCUGCAAUAUUUUUCUGCAUGUUUAUCAAGAUAAAGCUCAAUCACAAUCUCGAAAAAUGUAUGGCCCAAGUCAACAAACAUUUAUUAAGGCAUAAAAUAUUACUGGGAUUGGACGACCGAGGAAAAAUCUCAUGCCACAAAGUCAAUCUGUGUUUCAUAUACUUCGACACUACUGACUGUAUUAAAAAACUGCAGGAAGUGAUAGAACGAGAAGAACGCGAAGGUAGGAUAAUUGGUAGUGGUGAUGAAGCGAGCGAAUUAAGUCGGCAACGAGAGUUACAGCAGCGUAUGGACAUUGACGACAAUGACAUUGUUAUACAGGGCAGCACUACCACAAGAAUCUCUCGCAAACAGCUGGACGGAAGAUGACAAAUCUCAGUAUAUUACCUCCGCAUCCGCAUAUCACCAACGCAUAAAAAAAUAAUCUCUAAUAUCAUGAUAUCCACCAGGUUUUACAUGGUGCGCCUACCUUAGUGAACCUGCAACCCGAUUUGAUAUGGUACCGAGUAUACAUACCAUUAACUAGUUUUUGCCUUUACAGAUUAUUAAACAGUAUUUUACGUUUAAAGUUUACAUAAAGAGGAAAAGGUGAGCUGUAUAUCAAAAGAAAACCUAUAUUGUUAUACAUACGAGAUAUUUCUAUGUUAAUCUCAAUUUUGAACUUUUGUUUACAUCUUUUAAAAGAUUUAUAUAAGCCAGUUAUAUUGUUAUCGGAUAUUUAGGGAGUGUAUAUAUCUUUUAUAACUCAUAUUUUUAUAUAUGUAUAUAACUAAUAUCAUUUGUUCUUUUUAUCAUCUUUUUAUUUUACCUUGAAUAUGUAUCGUACAUAUGCACAUGUUAAUUAAGAUUAUUUAAUCUUAUGCAAAUUAUUUGCCGAGUAAAAUAAUGAAAUAAUUUUUUAAUACUUGUUUACGAGAAACAGUAUUUCGAUAAGUAUGUUUAGCAAUGCAUAUAUAGUUUUAUUGUUAUAUACACACACACAUACACAAGUUUACGAUCAAUUCCGCAUACAGCUUUAUUUGAUCGUUAGUUUAUUUUUAUCAGUUUUAAAGAGUUAUAGGAAAUUCUAUAUAAAGAAUGUACUAUUUUGCGAAAACCAUAUAUAAAAGAUAUAUAAAAGAUGAAGUGUAUAAAAAAGUUAAUAUUGUAAUGUUAUAAAACAAUAUACGAUUUCCUUUUUUCUAUUACAUUGCUCAAACUAUUAUAUUGUCAAUUCUAAAGCUAAUUUUCGAUAACUCUUUGAAUAAUUAAAACUAAUAAUUUUAUUUCAAUUGAAUUACCCUUUUAAUAUUUUAGUUUACAAAGCUAAUGAUAUAAUAAAAACAAUUUGCAAAGUUUUACUUUCAAGAAGCAGCACAGGAAAUUGUAAUAUUUUAUAUAAUCUGUACUGUUUCCCAAAAUAAAUGUGAAUGAUUAUAGCUGUAAUACUUUAACUCACUGCUUCGACGAGUAGUAGUAACUAGGUAUUAAGUUGUUAUUGUGCCUUAUUAUGAAUUUUGUUGAGAUAGUUUUUUGAAAUGUUCUGUAUCAUCAAAUAAAACAAAACUCCACGCAA
rnacentral:misc_RNA from 1 species